UACAGAGGUCCCAAGCGUUGUUCGGAUUCACUGGGCGUAAAGGGUGCGUAGGCGGUCGGGUAAGUCUGACGUGAAAUCUCCAAGCUCAACUUGGAAAUGGCGUCGGAUACUACUCGGCUCGAGGAAUGGAGGGGAGACUGGAAUUCUCGGUGUAGCAGUGAAAUGCGUAGAUAUCGAGAGGAACACCAGUGGCGAAGGCGAGUCUCUGGACAUUUCCUGACGCUGAGGCACGAAAGCCAGGGGAGCAAACGGG
rnacentral:rRNA from 1 species